AGUGAACGCUGGCGGUAGGCCUAACACAUGCAAGUCGAACGGCAGCACAGUAAGAGCUUGCUCUUACGGGUGGCGAGUGGCGGACGGGUGAGGAAUACAUCGGAAUCUACUUUUUCGUGGGGGAUAACGUAGGGAAACUUACGCUAAUACCGCAUACGACCUACGGGUGAAAGCAGGGGAUCUUCGGACCUUGCGCGUUUGAAUGAGCCGAUGUCGGAUUAGCUAGUUGGCGGGGUAAAGGCCCACCAAGGCGACGAUCCGUAGCUGGUCUGAGAGGAUGAUCAGCCACACUGGAACUGAGACACGGUCCAGACUCCUAAGGGAGGCAGCAGUGGGGAAUAUUGGACAAUGGGCGCAAGCCUGAUCCAGCCAUACCGCGUGGGUGAAGAAGGCCUUCGGGUUGUAAAGCCCUUUUGUUGGGAAAGAAAAGCAGCAGGUUAAUACCCCGCUGUUCUGACGGUACCCAAAGAAUAAGCACCGGCUAACCUCGUG
rnacentral:rRNA from 1 species